AUUGAACGCUGGCGGCAGGCUUAACACAUGCAAGUCGAGCGGGGAAAGGUAGCUUGCUACCUGACCUAGCGGCGGACGGGUGAGUAAUGCUUAGGAAUCUGCCUAUUAGUGGGGGACAACAUCUCGAAAGGGAUGCUAAUACCGCAUACGUCCUACGGGAGAAAGCAGGGGACCUUCGGGCCUUGCGCUAAUAGAUGAGCCUAAGUCGGAUUAGCUAGUUGGUGGGGUAAAGGCCUACCAAGGCGACGAUCUGUAGCGGGUCUGAGAGGAUGAUCCGCCACACUGGGACUGAGACACGGCCCAGACUCCUACGGGAGGCAGCAGUGGGGAAUAUUGGACAAUGGGGGGAACCCUGAUCCAGCCAUGCCGCGUGUGUGAAGAAGGCCGUUUGGUUGUAAAGCACUUUAAGCGAGGAGGAGGCUACCGAGAUUAAUACUCUUGGAUAGUGGACGUUACUCGCAGAAUAAGCACCGGCUAACUCUGUG
rnacentral:rRNA from 1 species